UGUCGGUCCCCUCGCGACAAUAAACUGUUAACCCGGUCAGGCCCGGAAGGGAGCAGCCGCAGCAGUGGACUUGGGCGCCGGGGUGUGGCUGGUACGG
rnacentral:SRP_RNA from 1 species